AAAUUCUUUUUGCAUUUCACCGUUCUGACCAGCAGGAGUCACCAGAGGGUGGCGUUUCAAGAGCUUCUAAACAGUGAAUCACUUUGCGAAGCUUUUUGAAAAGCUUUGUUUUCGCUAGUUUUCUCAGAGAUGGUUUGUUGCUUCCCCUCAACACACACGGAUGCGUUUCCAGAGAUUUAUUAUUGGGAGAUGAGAGGGUCUGUGGCUCUUACCACUGGAAAAAGCGUAACGGCUAACUUGGAUUAGGUGAGGCACCUCAGUCUAUCAUAUAAUGGCAGUGACGUCAGUGGCCAGCGUUCAGAGUUUUAUGACAGUCAGUGACAGUUUACGUUACACGAGGUGUAUUGUGGAUUAGCGUGUUCGUCUUGUGAAUAAUGUUCUAUAUUUGGUGUUAUAUCGAUAGUAAACGUACAGUAGGACUGCAGUGUUUGUGAAUGUGCUUUACUGAGCGGGAAAAAGUGCGCGAAUUGCACUAUUAGCUGUAGAUUACUAGUCACUACAACCCACAUUUAAGAUUUGAUUGGAAUCUGUUCCUUAAAAAACAGCUUUAUUGGGCAUACACAGCAAUGAUAUUAGUGACUAAACAUGUAAUUGUAAUUUAAUUGUUGAAAUCUGGAACCAUAAUACAUUUAUUUAUUAAAAUCUUUAUAUUUUGUUUACCUUGAUUCAUUAAAAAGCGCUAUCAUUAUUAGGCAUACACAUCAGUCAUAAAUCAUUACAAUUCAAGUCUAAUUUAUUUGUUGAAACUUGGAAGCCAUAGAGAGAACACAUCAUUUUAACAACAAUAUAAUACAAUAUUUAUAAUUAAAUCAUUAAUUUUCUCUUUAUUCAUUAAAAUGCUUUAUAUCAGCAUAGUGCAUGGCAGUCAUCGAUGUUGUUUUUCUUUAGACAAUAUGCAAUAUCACUCAAUAUUACACAAUGCCUAUUAUUAAAUACUACACAUUUGCAGGUGGUAAUGCCGUUAAUGAGUCGCGACAUUCCCUACUCUGCUCUUCUCUUCAAAAAUAGUUUUUUUUUAUCAAUGUAAAAUCUACAUAUAGUUCCCAAUGAAAGUAUUGUUUAGUGUAAAACAUGUUAAAGAUUAGCGAACAGGCUGUUGAUUCAUUAAAUGAUAAGCUAUUUCCUCACAAAAGCUGUUUAUUUAGCUUAGUGAAGCCUGUCCUCCAUUGAUAUCAAUUUUAAAAAAACGGCCUCUUGUCUCCUUCCCUGCUUACCACCAAAGCGAGAGCAUUAGCUUUAGCCAUUAGCAACUCCUUAACAAUGCCCUACCAAUGGCCUAGACACCACACAGAACACUGUAGCAAUGACCUAGCAACCCCCAGAACACCUUAGCAACCGCCUAGGAACACCCUAACAACCACCCAGGAUACCCUAAAAACCGCCUAGCAACACCAUAGCAACCACCCAAGACACCAUAACGACCUCCUAGCAACAUUAUAGCAACCACACAGAACACCCUAUCAACCGCCUGGGAACACCCUAGCAGAAACUCAGAAUAUCUUAACAGCAUCCUAGCAACCAUCCAGGAUACCCUAGCAACACCCUAGCAACCACCCAUGCCACCCUAGCAUCUGAGUUUUGCCAUGGCAAGCACCACUCACAUUUUGGGUGAACUAACCCUUUAAGUCUAGUGCCUAUUCCUAAUGUGAACUCUUAAUCUUAAUUGUUCUGUUAAGAAAUAUCACAUGAAAAAAAUUACAUGUUAUUAAUGAUUAGUUUUUGUGUGGUAAUGUAAAAAGCAAUGUGUUCCAACUGUACAUGGUCUAUCCUGUAUUAGCACAGUCCAAUAUCUUAAAGAUGACCUGUUUUAAUUAAAAUGAAAAAAGUGAAAGUUAACACAAUAAUGAAAAUUCUUUCAUUGUACAUAGACUUCCAUUGUAUGGACAAAAAAUAAAUAAAAUGCUGCCAUUUUGCAUAUAUUCAAGGUAGGAUUUUUUUUAUUGCAGAGAAAACAUGAGCAUACAGUGACAUAAUACAAAACAAAAACAACAAAAAAAAUUAUAAUAGUAAAAUAUAAAUCCGCUUGUUAAGUUGUGACUUGUGACAUAUCAAAUACGGGUUUCUGGGUCCAAACCACUACUCGGUUUCAAUUGAGAAUGUCUCAACAGCCAUUUUUAGCAGCAUAUAUUUAUAGCACACAUUAAAGCUAAGCUUUUAAAAACUCAGUGUACUAUGCGUCAGUCCGUGCUUACAGUGUCCCACACACCAAUAUUUUAAGGUGAAUCUGAGGGUACAUUUUCACGACAACAAUGUUCUAAAAAUGUAAAGGUUUUUCCUUUGCAUUUUUAAUGUACAGACGAAACCACUGUCAAAACAGUCCCAGUUCACAUUGAUCUGCGAAAACAACUAAAAAAGCUGUAUUAUGCUGCCAGGCCAGUAGAUGGCAAUCCCACUUUGUAAAGAAAAACUACGCGCCUAUAGACUGAACAUGUAAUAUGCAUGCACACGACAUCACCAUUUUCACAAAUUAGCAUUUUUGUUGUUUACACAGAGACAAUAACAGUAUCGUUUUCAAAAAUUUGACUUGCACUUUUAAACCUGUUUACAAAAGGUUGCAUUUUCAGGUAAAUGAACGACUGAAAGGCAUAAAAAGAUUUACGUUUUUAUUUGAAAAUGGUGUCGUGUAAAUGGCCCCUGAAACUGGCAAGGCCAAUGGAUUGAGGAAGUCUAAUAUAUUAAAGAGGAUCUGCUUUAAUUAAAGUGUUAAAGUGAACCCAAAAAAUGAAAAUUAUUUCAUAGUUUACUCACCCUCACUCUGUGGGAAACAUCAAAGAAGAUAUUUUGAAGAAUGUUGGUUUCCAAACACUUUUGGUUUCCAUUGACUUCCAUUGUAUAGACAAAAAACACUCUCAGAAACAUUUCUCUAAAUAUAUUCUUUUAUGUUUCACCGACGAAAGAAAAUUGUACAGGUUUGGAAGGACACGAGGGUGAGUAAAUGAUGACAAAAUGUUAUUUUUUGCAUGAACUAUCCCUUUAAAAAAAACAGGAACAAGCAGCCAAUCAGAUAGGGACACCCCAAAUUUAGUAAUAAUUUUAAUCAUUUUUAUUCUCUGCUUUUGUUAUUUUUAUUUUGUAUGCAUGAUUUUUUUAUAUCUUAUGCAUCUGUUGUGAUUAUGUUGUGAUAAUUUUAAUGUAAAGCACUUUGAAUUACCAUUGUGUAUGAAAUGUGCUAUAGCUAUAAAUAAACUAGCCUUGUCUUAUGUUAUGGCCUUUCAAUGAAAGAUCCAGCAUACAUCUCUUUGCACAAGUUUAACGCUAAUGUCUUUGCCAAGUUCUUUAUACUAUAUCAUCUCUAUUUUCAGUGGCUGAUUGUGUUACUGUUAUCUAUCAAGAAAAGAUGAGCACUAAGCUAACAUGAUGCAGUGUAUCCUCUAUAUUUAUUUGCAAUUCAAAUUGGUUACUUCACCUACUGAUGCUCCAUGCUCACCUUUCAGUUGUGGUUUGUAGUUUGAAUUGAAAAGUAAGUGAAUGCAUCUGUGUAUGCAACAUUCAUUUGAUUUUCAAACUCUCUUGCGUGAUGUUGGUUGGGAUCAAAUUCAGGACGGUUUCUGAUACCCUAACCAUUGUGACUAGCUGGUUUCCUUGUUUCCUUUUUAAAUGGAUGUAGCUCAUUUCCUUUCUAAUUGUGAAAUAGCUUCCUAGGUACCUUCAAAACCAAUAAAGCCAAUUAUAUUCUAACAAGUAAAAAUGUUUAUUUAUUUGUUUAUUUGGGCUAUAUGUAGAAAUCCUUGUCAUUAGCAAAACCGGUGACCAUUAAGUGAAUUGCAGCCAGAAACUUGAUGCUCCUCCUGUAACAAGAACGGCAAGCCAUUUUAACAUUUUAUUCCCAUACCUUUUAAAAGAUACAAGUACUUAUUCAUUAGAUACUAUUUGUUAGAUAAUGGUACUCAUUCAUUAUAUACUAGUACCUAUUAAAUAGACUCUAGUUCUUAUUCAUUAGAUACUAGUACCUAUUAAAUAGAUACUAGUACUUAUUAAUAAAUAAGUAUAAGUAUCUAUAUAAAAGGUACUACACAGUAAAAAACGUUGGGUUAUUUACCAAAAAUGUUGGGUUAUUUUUAUUAAUAACCCAUCUGUUGGGUUAAAUACGGAUCCUGUGAAGACGGUUCAAAUUUUAACGGUCCAGUGACAGUCAACAGAAAGAAGCUGUUGCAACCUGAUAUUAUGAAGGUAAGUCAUGUCGUUUUCGUGUAUAUAACUUUUAUAACAUUAGGUAUUGUGUACUGAAACAUAACAUAUAUUCUAAAACUGAAUUUUAUAUUUUUAAGUCGUAAUUUUCUAGUCAGUUUUAAUGUUCUCCGGUAAGUGAGAUCGACUGGAAAUGAUUAACGUUAGCUAUCCCAGUCAGCUCGCUAGCAGUGAUAAAGUAAACAUACUAGCGAAACUGCUUAGAGAUGUAUUACCUUACAAUGGUAACUAAUAAUAUUGUCUUGUGAAAUAUAUAUAUCGCUAAACUAAGGAAGGCUAGGUCUCAGCAAUCACUAUCCAACAUUACGCAUGUUUUACGGUCUUUGUGAUAAUCUUUCAUAAUAUGACAGCUAAAUUUGAGCUUCAAGCUUGUACUUUUUUUUGUACAGGUGUGAUUAGAAACGCGGAACGAAAGAGCACUUAUUUGAGCCGUGGCGCACGGACCGUUUAUCAGCUCGGCCUACGAAGCGCAAGCUCGGUCCUUGAUUCUCGGUCAUGCGGCACCACAACAGAGCUGUUUGAAUUAUUAUUCAAUCGUUCCCAAAAGCUUCUACGCGGAGAAAAAAAAAAAAACUGGAGAAACGUUGUGCAACCAAUGAACGAUUAGUUUAUGAGUAGUUAACGACAGUUACAGUGUGUUUUUAUCGAUAAAUAACCUAGAUUUACUGUUUAUUAGGUUUACCGUAGUAACACUAACUGCAAAUCUGGUAUUUGCAGAAAUGUGGUAUAUUCAUAAUCCAUGUUAUAUAUAGUAAUGCAUGUAAAUGUAUUAUAGGAGUAUCUGAAGCAUCUUUAUACUGUUGUUUCUUAUGAAGCUAUGUCAGUUUUUGCAUUUUUGUUGUACUAAAUGUGUUUAUACUUGUGAUUUAGACAAAUGGAAUAAUCUGUGAAGCAAAGACUACAACAACCUGCUAUUUAAUGGAAACAUUUGAAGAGCAAGGAGUGGAUGAAAGUUUUAUGCUGCUGGAUGACAGUGGUUCUCAACUGUGGUCCUAGAGUAUCCCCAGCAAUACACAUUUUGGAUGACUUCCUUAUCUGACACCCUUUUCCGGCCUUGGAGUCUCUCGACUAACAAGCUGAUGGUCAUGGAGAAACUGCCUUCAAAACCCUUCCCGCUGUCCUGCCAUCAUCGCCAUGCCUCACAAAUGGGAAAAUGGUGCUGAAAUGAAGCACAGCUUAACUGACAUUCAGCCUGUUGGCGCAUUACCUGAGCAGUGAGACAAGCCGGGAUCCACAUGACUUGAUGCCUUGAGGACAAAGAGAACUCCCAAGUUUUUUUUUUUUUUUAGGUUUUUUUUUUUUUUAAUAACAUUAUUUUUUCAUUGUGGCAUUGAACAGAAGAUCUUAUUUUAAGCUAUGCAUGUAUAUUUCAAUUUUUUUUUUUUUUUUUUUAACAUAUAUGAAAUACUGUUCAAAGCCUUCUGCUCCCAUUUAGGAGGUUUUGUAGCAUGCAAACUUUAAUAUACAGUAGUAGUACAUUUGAAGUGGAUCAAAAAAGUUCAUCAAAGUUGUCCUAAAAACUAAGUUGUCCUAAGAAAAAGGUUUUAGGGACAACUUUGAUGAAAGGUUUUGAUCCACUUCAAAUGUUGACUAGUGUAUUAAGAGGGGUUCCCUUAACACUUUGCUGCCUCCUUAAGAACUUUGAUCAUCAUCAUUAGGUCCAACAUAUUUGUGGUUUUAUUACUUAAGGUAUGUUUACAACACAUCAAUGCAUACAAUCUACAGUGUUGACUUUUCAUUAAAGAUAUGUUUAUUUAUUGAAGAAUUUAAUGUUAUGAAUUUAUGUGUACUCGUAGUUUCUCAUUUAGUGUACAACCGUUUUGUAUUUGUGUGUUCUGUAUGUACAUUUUAUGUGUUUUGAGUUUACUCUACAUGGUUGUGAAGGUUUUAAAUAUAGGUUUUAAUUGUGUACUGUUUGUACAAAUUUAUAGGUUUGAAUUUAAUAUUUGUACUGUACACUUUUGAGUAGGUUUAAAUGUAGUGUUCAUUUUGAAUUUUUGUGUGUUCUGUAUACAUAUUUUAUUUAUGUUUUGAGUUUACUCUGUACAUGUUUGUGUAGGUUUUGAAUGUGUACUGUUUGUACAAAUUUGUUUUGAAUUGAUGUAUGUAUGUACAUUUAUGAUAUUUACAUUAAAUGACUCCACAAUAUUUCAUUUGUAAUUUAAAAUAUAUUUGUUAAAACAUGUUAUUUUAUACAAAUAGACAAUCUAGAAAACAAAGUAUGUUUUAUAUAUUAUAAUAAUGUCAUGAAUAAAAGUAAAUAGUUAACCCAACUGUUGGGUUAUUUUUAACCCAACCAUUGGGUUAAAAAUAACCCACAGUUGGGAAGGUGCUAUGUUAACCCAUAGUUGGGUUACUUGUUGGGUUAUUUUUAACCCAACAUUUUUUAGUGAGGGUCUCGUGGACUUCAUGAUCACGCGCACACAGUGGCUAUUGUAAGUCCAUUUGGGACAGUGGCUUUGAUGAUUUAUUGAAAUAAAACACCAAAGAAACAAAUGGUUGAUAUCUCAGAUCACUGAUGGUGUUUAAAGCAUGUUGCAUGUGCAGAGGCAUGCGUGGUGUGCUGACCGCAGGUCUCAAAGGCCCAGCAGCAGUGCACACAUGACUGAGAGUGAUGAUGAUGGUAGAGGGGGUGGACUUGUAAGAAGAAGUGUGAAAGUAUCAAUAUAGAGUUUGCAUCAUUAGUCUUGAUGCAUGGUGGAAUUGUACCAGGUAAGAUCCCCGCUGAUGUGGAUUCCGAGAAAUUUAAAGAUUUUCACCCGCUCCACCUCUGUCUCUCCAACGUAGAUUGGGGUAUGCCGCUCCUUCAUCCUCCUCGGAUCGAUUAUCAUCUCCUUCGUCUUUUGUACAUUUAAGGAGAGAUUAUUUUCUUGACACCAGACCAUCAGUCCUGCUACCUCUUUUCUGUAUAUUUCCUCUCCACCAGUGAUCAGUCCGAUGACUGUUUCAUCCGCAAAUUUUAUAAUCCUGGUGUUAGUCUGAGAAGCCACACAGUUGUAGGUGAAGAUGGUAUAAAGCAGUGGGCUCAAAACAGUCUUGAGGAAUUCCUGUGCUUACAGUUCGAAUGCCCGAUGUCCGAUUACCUACUUUGACUGAGGUCUAUCCGUCAGAAAGUUCAGCACCCAGUUACAGAGUGAAGAUGUCAAUCCGAGAGCAAAGAGAUUUUCAGAAAGCCUUUGUGGUAUAACUGUGUUAAAUGCCAAGGUGUAAUCAAUAAAAAGCAUUCUCACAUAUGUAUCCUUACCCUUUAGAUGUUUGAGGGCUGUGUAGAUGGCAGCAUUAACAGUAUCAUCGGUGGACCUAUUCUGUCGAUAUGCAAAUUGAAAUGGGUCCAAAGUGGCUGGGAUGGUCUUUUUUAUGUAGGACAUAACUGUCCUUUCAAAACACUUCAUCACAAUAGGUGUCACCAGAUGAUAAUCAUUUAGACAUGCCACAGUGUUUUUCUUUGGAAGGGGCACAAUUGUGGUGGACUUGAAGCAGGUAGGCACCAAAGCCUGAGCAAGGGACAGAUUGUAAAUGUCCAUGAACACAUCAGCCAUGCAGCUCCGAUGAGCAAAACCUAAGAGCCCGCCCCGGGAUGUUAUCUGGGCCGGCUGCCUUUCGUGGGUUCGUUCUCUUCAGAGUCAUGCGCACCUCCGCUGAUGACAGGGUGAGUGGCAUAUCCAGUGUGCCCUCAGAAUCCAGAAUCCAAUGCUGUUGGCAGAUGUUUGGGGCCUCAAUAUGAGCACAGAACUCAUUCAGCUCAUCUGGGAGUGUAGUCUUGAUAUUCAUGACUCCCUGGCUCCUCCGCCGAUAUCCCGUGAUAUGCUGCAAGCCUUGCCACAUGCGCGGUGAAUCUGCAGUGGUGUAAUAUCCCUCCAGCCUUUUACUGUAAUAUCUCUUAGCAUUUCCGAUUGAUUUAUGCAAGUUGUAUCUAGCUUUUUUAUUUUCCUCAAUAUCACCUGAAGCAAAUGCUGUGGAGCUAGCACAUAACAUGGCCCACACCUCACCAUUGAUCCAAGGUUUAUCAAUGGGAUAAAACUUACAGUAUUUAGUGGGAAUGAUGUUCUCAAUGCAUAUACUGAUGUAACCAGUUACAGCUGCCGCAUACUCCUCCAAGUCCACAGUAAAAUCCUCUCUUAGAGCAUCAGUUUUAAACACACCCCAAUUUGUAGUCUCGAAGCAGUCCUGAAGCAUUUACUCUGAUUCUUCAUUCCACACUUUAAGGCCGGUUUCACAGACAGGGCUUAGCCUAAGCCAGGAUUAGUUCAAUUAAGGCAUUUAAGUAGCUUUUAUAAACUUUCACUAGAAAAACACAUUACUAGUGUGCAUCUUGAGACAAAACAAUGACACUGACAUAUUUUAAGAUAUGUCAGUGCUAGUUGUUUUCAGUUACAACAGCUCAAACAUGCAUUUUAGUCUAGGACUAGCUUAAGUCUUGUGUGUGAAACCAGGGGUAAGAGUUUUACUUACUGGAGGGACUUGCUUAAGGAGUUGUCUGUACACUGGGUAAAGAAACACUGAGAUGUGGUCUGACUGUCUAAAAUGUGGCAGAGGCACAGCCUUGUAGGCAUUAUUCACAUUGCUGUACACUUGAUCCAAAGUGUUAUUCUCCCUUGUUGGAAAACACACGCUUUGAUGGUACAUUUGGAAGACAUUCUUGAGAUUACAAUGGUUAAAAUCUCCAGCUACAAUGAACACAGCAUCUGGAUGUACUAGGGUGACCACCAUCAAACAAAUCAAAUGUGGGAUGAUUACUAAGUUUGUGUGGGACAAUGUGGGACAUGUUACCAACACUAAAACAACCUUAAACUGUCUGUCUAACUUAAUAAAAACAUUUGUAUUCUGCCUUUCAGCUGAUAAAAAUACUUUGUUCUUUAGUCCCUUUCAGAAAACACAUUACAUCACAAUGUCACAACGUCUUUAUUUUACAUGUCAUUUAAAUUCAACAUCACUGAGCCCAAAGGCAAAGUGGACGUUUCUUUCUGUUCCCUUUUCUUGUGUGAUUCGCAUGUGCUGCGAUGCCUAACGUCAUAUUCUCCUCCAUGUGAAACAGAAAAGCUGCUUUACAUAGACCUCAAAACACUCUUUCGGUAUCCCCUUCUAUCGGCCUCACCCAGGGAACGCAUGGAACGAAUCACCGCUCCACAUUUUGAUUGACAGCCAUCACAACCUACUAGUGACUAGGGCUGUGUAUCACCAACAAUGUCACGAUACGAUACGCAUCACAAUACUAAAGCUACGAUACGAUACGUAUCACGAUAUGGAUCAAUUUGGAAUUUAAAUUUCUUAUGAGCAGAGUUUAGUAACAGUAAUAGGUGUUUAUUGAAUAACCAGUGUUAUAACAGUUGUGAUAACUGAAAAACAAUUUUGUUUUUGUCAUUAAAAAACCAAUGACUUAAAUGAAAUAAAAAAAAUUGUCACAAAAAAAAGCUUAGAAUGGCUCUUCCUUUUGCUUUUAAAGUCUCUGCCUCAGAAACUGAAAUGACAAUUAUAGUGACACUGAAGCAUAUCAGCAAAGCUCAAUGACUAAACAAAACUUAAAACAUAUUCCAUAAAAGCGAAAACUGUAACAACUUAAAUUUAACUUAGUUCCCUCAAACUCUUUUAAACACCUAGUAUUUAACAAUUUGGUCUUAAGUGUUGGAAUGUGCACCAAACAAAGUCAUAACAAUUACAUCUUCAGUAACAUACGAUUGGGUUGCUCUCGAAUCCAAGCAUCACAGGAAAUGGAAACUCUCUGUGCAGAAGACAGUGACAGCAGAACGUCUCGCUUAACUUCAUCAUACAACCGGGGAAUUGCCGUUUCUGUUAAAAACUGACGUGUUGGUAUUGUGUCGCGUGGCUCACACUCAUGAAGCAAUUGUCUGAAGCCGUUAUUCUCGACAACGCUGUAUGGCCGUAAAUCCUGACAUAUUAAGCGCAUUAAUGCAUUUGUAAUCUUUUGAGAUCGCUGAGCCGUGGGUAAGAGUUUUGAGAUGAAAGCAUCAGGCAACGUUGGCUGCUUCUGGGAUGACAGAUAUGUGCUACUAGGCCUACCUGCUGCGACCAGGGCUGGCUGGUCUGGAUGAUGUCUUGACAUAUGCAGAGAGAGGUUUGUCGUGUUGCCGGAGUACUUAACUUUUGUUUUGCAGUUCUUGCAUAUCACAUGACUCAUGUCUAAUGUCUGACUCUCCGGUUUAGCGUAAAACCCAAAAUUCUCCCAUAUUUUUGAUUUUACUUUUGUCGGCGGUGGCAAAAUCCUCCAUUAUCCAUUUUGAAUGUCUCGCUCUGCUGCUCGCGUUGCUAAAUUAGCGCCAAUUGAAGUCACGUGAUUAUUGGCUACAUUCAAAAGCACGACAGACUCAAUACGGCAGUUGCUGUAUCGAUACGCACAUCGUCGCGAGUUCAUGACGAUGUAUCGCUGUAUCGAUAUUCUGAGCACAGCCCUACUAGUGACCUUGUUUACUCAUUUCUUUUCAACCAUUGGAUAGGAUUUAAAAAAUGUCUGUUGUAUUUGUGUAAGGAGGAAUGUUACUUCUGACGAAGUGCUGUUAAAUAUAGGUGAAAACUACGCCGCAAAAAGAAUAAAUAAAAUGCUUUCUUAAAAAGGCAAAAGAACACAUGCACGUUUUCUUAAUAUGAUAAUUAAAAACCAACAGACAGAUGAAAAUGCGGGACAAGGGGGGAAAAUGCUGUGCAGUACAACGCAGAGCGGGACGGGUGGUCACCCUAGGAUGUACAGUCCUGCCUGCUGAUGACACCGUGCAGUACCCCCAGUGCAGUCACGUGAUCGGCCUCUGGCGGAAUGUUAACAGUCAACAAAAACACAGCGCUAAACUCCCGUGGUAAAUAGAAGGGUCUACACCUCACCAUUAAAAAUUUAAUGUCCGCAGAACAGUGCUUUUCAACAACCUGCACAUCCCCACACCACCUGUUGUUAACAUAGACGCAUACACCACCUCUUUCCUGACGCCGAUGUGCGAUCUCCGCAGUAAAUGGUGUGUGUGUAGAGCAAGAGAACCGAAUCCAGCACUUUGUCCGAAAGCCAAGUUUCCGUGAUAAUAAGAGCACAACAUUCCCUUAACUCAUGCUGGACAGUAAUUCUGGUUCUCAGCUCGUCCAUUUUAUUUUCAAAUGAGCGGACAUUAGCUAGUAGCAGACUAGGUAACGGUGGUCGCGUAGCUCUAGCCUUUAGUCUGGCAUGCAGCCCACUUCUCCUACCUCGUCUCCGCCUUGGAUGACCUGCUCAUUGGUUGCGCCACUCAAGCGAAGCCAGUACUGCCAUAUCAUGCCGACUGGUGUUAGCUGGGUCCAGAUGUAGUAGAAAAUCACAAUCCAACAGGCGAUAUUUAAAGGCCCACUGAAGUGUCUUGGAACGCGCAGCAUUAUUCAAUGUUUUGACGUAAUUUCAACUGAAACAGGAAGACAGGGCGAUAUAUCGAACAGCCCCGCCCCUUUUUUAAAAUAGCCAAUAGCGUUUCGUUUUUUUAUCAAAGAUCGACCAGAGCCGUUAAACUCAGUAAAACCUCUGUUUCCUUUUAAUAUCUAACCGUUUAUCAUCCUUAUCUCCUCUAUAUCACUUUAAAAUACAGCAUUCUGUGCAGAAUUCAAAUGGGUACCUUUCGUGGUCUGAGCCAACUCGCGGAUAUGAUCCGCUCUGUGCUCUCGUGUCCCUGGGCCAGAGCACUGUGCUCGCGCUGCAGCGGUUCAUGUUAUACUAACGCGAAAACGGACUUCAUUCGCGUCAAUGGAAAGCAUAUUUACACUGUCUGAACCAUUCCCUGUUCUCUAUAUAGUGCACUAUGUGCUAUUCACCAUGUAGAAACUAGUAAAUGUGUGAACAAAUGACCGAUUUCAGCCGCAGCUUCAGUGUCUGUUGAUAGUGUAGGAGGGGGCGGGACUUCAGAUUCUAGAGAGCAUUUGAUUGGACAGAAGAUUUGAUGAGAAGCUGAAGUGCGAUGUGAUGUCAUUAAAAUCUGUGAUCCAUUUUAGCGGAAGUGAGAGACUGUAAGUUUUGAAUACUUAUAUUUUCUAAAUGUGAAUUUUGUCAUUGUUUUGGAACACACCAGCUUAUUCAUAACCUUAAGGCUAACAUAUUCAUACUAAAAGCUAAAAAACUUAAAUUUUGAUUUCAGGGGGACUUUAAAGGGUUCGAAGCUUCAUGAAGCAGUGUUUUGAAAUCGGCCAUCACUAUAUAAGUCGUUAUUUUGUUUUUUUGGCACACCAAAAAUAUUCUCGUCGCUUUAUAAUAUUAAUAUCGAACCACUGUACUCACAUGAACUGAUUUAAAUAAAUUUAAUAUGUUUUUAGUACAUUUAAUGGAUCUUGAGAAAGGAAAUGUCGUUGCUGGCUAUGGAGGCCUCACUGAGCCAUCGGAUUUCAACAAAAAUAUCUUAAUUUGCGUUCCGAAGAUUAACGAAGGUCUUACGGGUGUGGAGUGGCAUGAAGGUGAGUAAUAAAUGACAUUAUUUUUAUUUUUGGGUGAACUAACCCUUUAAGUUUAUAAUGCACUUUGCCAAUGUCUUAAAGUUCGUCCUUACUGUAUCUUACUGUCGCAUGCAUAAAGUGUGUGUUCAAAACACAUAAUAACACUAAUACACAUACAACACAAUGGUAUCGGGAGAGCGAAGCAAACACGUCAGCCACGAUGGGUGCCAUGUUGUGAAGAAAAGAAAAAAAAAAUUCCCUACAAAAAAAAAAUUAUGUUUAGCUGCUUUAAGCUGGUGAAAAUAACAAAUUAAAACAUCUUAUUGACAAGUAUUUGGGCACUUUCAUGAUAAUUUUGGAUGGUCAUAUGUCAGCAGAGUUGUAGUAUGUAUCUUUCAUUUGUAUGUGUUUUCGUGUUAUGACUUGGGGCAUUUUUGCCAGGAAAACUUGUGCUCCUGAAAGCUUCUCUUCUGUUCAGUGACACAUUAAACGAAUGCUCAUGAAUGAAUGAAUGAACAAGAAUUUGCUGAUGUGAGUAUCCACCUUUUUCCUGUUUUAGAUUAUGGGAAGGACUUCCGGUUUGUGGAACUUCCACUCAAAAAGACAAACAAAUCAUUUCAAAUUAUAAGGCUGAGCUACAAAUAAUUCUUAUCGGUCAGUUUGACUGAAAAUUUCCUUCAGCCUGGUUUCACAGACAGGCCUCACAGGAUUAGGCUUUAGUUCAAUUAGGACAUUUAAGUAGCUUUUUUAAACAUGCCUUAGAAAAGUGUGCAUCUUGUGCAACAAAUCAAUGCCACUGACAUAUUUUAAGAUAUGUCAGUGCAAGUUGCUUUAAGUUAAAACAGCUCAAACAUGCAUUUUAAUCUGGCACUAUAGGCUUAAGCUUUGUCUGUGAAACCAGUGGUUUGUGUUUUAUUUUCAGACGUCAGAAGAAUAAUGUAACACUUGGUAUUUUAAUACAACAUGGUAUCACAAGAAUAUCUGUAGCAAGAGCUCUUUUCAGUUGCUGCAUUCUUUCCCUCCUGAUUAUUUUCUUUUUCUCUCCCGAUUUAAUUUACGAUAUACCAUUAAUAUAUGCACUAAGAAUCUCUUGUUUUCUCCCCAAAUCCUAAUGUCUCUUUUCACACGGAUGCUUUAAAAUGUAAUUGUCUUCUCUUUUCACUUUUAAUCCCUAUUAGCAAUUUUUACUGGAAUGUUUCUAAAUUAGAUAAAUCUGUCAAAAUGUCGGAAACCACUUUUGAAAUAUUAUCACUCAAUGCUAAAGUUAAUGAACAGGUCCGAUUAAGGCAAUGUAUGCUACAUAAUACAGACAUAUAUUACUACAGUGAUAUUUAACACAUCCAUAAUAUUGCUAUGUAAAUAGUUGAGCUUUUGGGGUAAUCACGUUAAUCAUGUUAAUACUUUUACAUGUUUAAGUUUCCUUUUAAUGUUUGAUGGUUGAAGGCCGAGUAGAAUAAUGUCACUUCAUUGUACCCAGUUAAAAAAAAAAAAAAAAGCUUAUUGCAUUCAUAGAGCGAGCCUUUCGCUAAUUGUUUACAGUUUAACGGAUGUUACUCCCAUAACUCUUGCAAAGCGUCAUGGGGUGUAGUAUGGCAAGCCGUUUUAACAUUUAAUCCUUAAAAUGUUCUAGUAUUUUUUUUUUUAGAUACUAGUAUCUUUUCCAUUGGGUACUAGUUUUUAUUCAAUUGCUAGUGCUUAUUCUUUAGGUACUAGAUCUUAUUUUAGAUACUAGUAGCUGUUAACAUCAAACUCUUAAAAAAUGUUUAGUAUCUAUUUUCAUGAUACUAGUACUUAUUUUUUAGAUAGUAUCUAUUCCAUAAGGUACUAGUACUUAUUAAUUUACGACUCUUUAGAUAUAUGCUUAUUCUUUAGGUACUUGUACUUUCUUAAAGAUGAAAUUAUCACGUUAACGCAUGUGAUUAAUUUUUUUUUAGUUUAACGUGUUAAAAAAUUAAUAUAACACAGCAGAUUAAUAUUCAUUAUUUUUUUAUUUUAAGGAAUUAUAAAUACUCUCCAAAAAAGCACAAUUUCCUGUGUUGGAUGUCAUGGUUGGAGGUAGUGGUUCAAUGGAUCACAAAACUCACGGUUUGGAUCAUAUCACGGUUAUUAAGUCACGGAUCGGAUCAUUUUUCAGAUCAGCAUAAAAAAAUAAAAAAAAAUUGGGGGGUAACUUUGCAUUUAUUACUUAGCCCACUUUAACUACUCCGAUACCACAGCAGAAACUACUAGCCUAACUAAUACAUUAUUGAAGGCAAGUGAACAGACUGUAAAAAGAACAAAUACUGUACACCAAUUACAAGCAUAGAUAAAUACAACAAAGUUACAAAUAAAGUAUAAGGUCCAACUGUAGUAUUAAUUUUCGUGUACAGAAAUGUAAUAAUUAAAUGUAAAAUGACACUGUUCACUGUAUAAAUUUAAUAUAGAUUAAUCUUUGUUAAAGCUGUGUUUUGUUGUUUGAUUUACAUGACAGACAACAGCAGGUAUUUAUAGGUUGCUGUCACUUUAAGAGUAAGACCCCAUGCACGCACACAUCCCAUAGAUACACAUCCGAAUUCUCACCUUGUUCAAUUAAGACAUAACCGAAUGUGUUUACAAGAAUACCUGCCGAGAGGGGUAUUUUGACUGACGUAAUGCGUGUAUGUGUCCAUCCAAGUGCAUUGAGGACGCGAUAAAGAAAUCAAUUUGGAGUUUGCGAGCUUUCUGAAAGGCGCCUCUCUCUCUCUCUGUGUGUGUGCGCGCGAGCCUUGUAUGUAUGUGCGUACCGAUAACAGCGUGGCGUGCGAUACCGAAUUAAAUCCUCUUUUGCCUCUUCUAGCGCUGGAAUGGUUUUAUAUCUAUUUAAUGUGUAAACUAGCAAGACAAAACACGUGCAAAUGAUAACCUUUCACUCUAUUGCGGUUA